ACAGCAGCCGCCGCGGGAAUACGGAGGGUGCAAGCGUUAAUCGGAAUUACUGGGCGUAAAGCGCACGCAGGCGGUCUGACAAGUCAGAUGUGAAAUCCCCGGGCUUAACCUGGGAACUGCAUUUGAAACUGUCAGGCUGGAGUCUUGUAGAGGGGGGUGGAAUUCCAGGUGUAGCGGUGAAAUGCGUAGAGAUCUGGAGGAAUACCGGUGGCGAAGGCGGCCCCCUGGACAAAGACUGACGCUCAGGUGCGAAAGCGUGGGGAGCAAACAGGAUUAGAUACCCGCGUAGUCCCUGUCUCUUAUAC
rnacentral:rRNA from 1 species